UACGGGGGGGGCAAGCGUUGUUCGGAAUUACUGGGCGUAAAGGGCUCGUAGGCGGCCAACUAAGUCAGACGUGAAAUCCCCAGGCUCAACCUGGGAACUGCGUCUGAUACUGGAUGGCUUGAAUCCGGGAGAGGGAUGCAGAAUUCCAGGUGUAGCGGUGAAAUGCGUAGAUAUCUGGAGGAAUACCGGUGGCGAAGGCGGGUCUCUGGGCAACAACUGACGCUGAGGAGCGAAAGCGUGGGGAGCGAACAGG
rnacentral:rRNA from 1 species